GUCAGAAUGGCCGAGCGGUCCAAGGCGCCAGACUCAAGGUUGUGCACCUUCUCCAAAACAGAGAGAUUUCUGGUCUCCGAAUGGAGGCGUGGGUUCAAAUCCCACUUCUGACA
rnacentral:tRNA from 1 species